UACAUUUUUUGACUCUUCGUCUUAUUCAAUAUUUUUGCGAUUGAUAUUUUUGUUUUUAUUAGAUGAUAAAUCAUAAAUAGUAUUUUACGUGUGACUAUUUUUUUCUAAUUUCUUAAAAAUUUUUCAAAUAAGAUGAAUGGUCAAACGUUGCACACGGAAACU
rnacentral:pre_miRNA from 1 species